rnacentral:rRNA from 1 species
AACGAACGCUGGCGGCAUGCCUAACACAUGCAAGUCGAACGAGACCUUCGGGUCUAGUGGCGCACGGGUGCGUAACGCGUGGGAACCUGCCCUUAGGUUCGGAAUAACUCCCCGAAAGGGGUGCUAAUACCGGAUAAUGUCUUCGGACCAAAGAUUUAUCGCCUUUGGAUGGGCCCGCGUUGGAUUAGCUAGUUGGUAGGGUAAAAGCCUACCAAGGCGACGAUCCAUAGCUGGUCUGAGAGGAUGAUCAGCCACACUGGGACUGAGACACGGCCCAGACUCCUACGGGAGGCAGCAGUGGGGAAUAUUGGACAAUGGGCGAAAGCAUGAUCCAGCAAUGCCGCGUGAGUGAUGAAGGCCUUAGAGUUGUAAAGCUCUUUUACCCGGGAUGAUAAUGACAGUACCGGGAGAAUAAGCUCCGGCUAACUCCGUG